rnacentral:rRNA from 1 species
UCAGAACGAACGCUGGCGGGCGUUUAGCAUGCAGUCGAACGGUAACCAUCCUUCGGGAUGGCUAGAGUGGCGAACGGGUGAGUAACACGUAGGUGAUCUGCCCUUGAGUUGGGGAUAGCCCAUGGAAACAUGGGGUAAUACCGAAUACGCUCGCGACCCUGUGGGGAUGUGAGGAAAAGCGCUUCGGCGCUGCUCGAGGAUGAGCCUGCGGCUGAUUAGUUAGUUGGUGGGGUAACGGCCUACCAAGGCGACGAUCAGUAGCCGGCCUGAGAGGGUGAGCGGCCACACUGGGACUGAGAUACGGCCCAGACUCCUACGGGAGGCAGCAGCUAAGAAUCUUCUACAAUGGACGAAAGUCUGAUAGAGCGACGCCGCGUGGGUGAUGAAGGCCGGACGGUUGUAAAGCCCUUUUCUAUUCGAGGAAUAAGGUGUGGAGGCAAUGCCACACUGAUGACGGUAGGGUAGGAAUAAGCCCCGGACAAUUACGUGCCAGCAGCCGCGGUAACACGUAUGGGGCGAGCGUUGUUCGGAAUCAUUGGGCGUAAAGGGCGCGUAGGCGGAUAUGCAAGCUUGGUGUGAAAGACCGCAGAUCAACUGCGGGAGCGCGCUGAGAACUGCAUAUCUUGAGUUCAAGAGGGGAAGCUGGAAUUCCAGGUGUCGGGGUGAAAUCUG